rnacentral:rRNA from 1 species
CCGUAGCCCAAGAGAUCGGGAUAACACCUGGAAACAGAUGCUAAUACCGGAUAACAACAGAUGAUGCCUAUCAACUGUUUAAAAGAUGGUUCUGCUAUCACUCUUGGAUGGACCUGCGGUGCAUUAGCUAGUUGGUAGGGUAACGGCCUACCAAGGCGAUGAUGCAUAGCCGAGUUGAGAGACUGAUCGGCCACAUUGGGACUGAGACACGGCCCAAACUCCUACGGAGGCAGCAG